CAAGGCAACGUGGCUGUGGUGGGAGGAAAAUCUCAGCCAACGUGGAUGUGUUGGGAGGAAGAAAGAAUCCUUGGCAUGGCAGUUUGUGGCGAAAACGUGACGGCAGCAAGCGUUGUCAUCUCCACGGCGGUGGAGGAAGAGGAUAUGACACGUCAUGCCAUGUCUAAGUUCCUUAAUUUCUAUGAUCCGAACAAGACCAGCGUUGCCUUCUUCUUCACCUGCAUUGUACGACA